GGGCUCACACAAGCGGUGGAGCAUGUGGCUUAAUUCGAAGCAACGCGAAGAACCUUACCCGGGUUUGACAUGCAUGGAUGUUUUCCGGCGAUGAGUUGGAAAAUUACCCGCAAGGGUGAAACAUGCACAGGUGUUGCACGGCUGUCGUCAGCUCGUGCUGUGAAGUGUCGGGUUAAGUCCCUUAACGAGCGAAACCCUUGCCGUUAGUUACUAACGGGUAAAGCCGAGGACUCUAGCGGGACUGCCGGCGUUAAGCCGGAGGAAGGUGGGGAUGACGUCAAGUCAUCGUGGCCCUUAUGCCCGGGGAUGCACACGUGCUACAAUGGCGACGACAAAGGGCUGCAAGACCGUAAGGUGGAGCAAAUCCCAAAAAAGUCGCCCCAGUUCGGAUUGGAGGCUGCAAUUCGCCUCCAUGAAGUUGGAAUCGCUAGUAAUCGCGUAUCAGCUACGACGCGGUGAAUGUGUUCCUGAGCCUU
rnacentral:rRNA from 1 species